AGCGAACGCUGGCGGCAGGCUUAACACAUGCAAGUCGAGCGCCCCGCAAGGGGAGCGGCAGACGGGUGAGUAACACGUGGGAACGUACCCUUUGGUUCGGAACAACCCAGGGAAACUUGGGCUAAUACCGGAUAAGUCCGCGAGGAGAAAGAUUUAUCGCCGAAGGAUCGGCCCGCGUCUGAUUAGCUAGUUGGUGUGGUAACGGCGCACCAAGGCGACGAUCAGUAGCUGGUCUGAGAGGAUGAGCAGCCACACUGAGACUGAGACACAGCCCAGACUCCUACGGGAGGGAGGAGAGGGUAAUAUUGGAAAAUGGGGGCAGCCAUGAUGCAGCCAUGCUGCGUGAGUGAUGAUGGUCGGAGAGAAGUAAAGCUCUUUCAGUGGGGAAGGUAAUGACGGUACCCACAGAAGAAGCCCCGGCUAACUUCGUG
rnacentral:rRNA from 1 species